ACUGAAUAGAUCCCAGGUAGUCCACGCCCUAAACGAUGUCAACUAGGUGUUGGGGGAGCAAUCUCUCAGUACCGCAGCUAACGCGUGAAGUUGACCGCCUGGGGAGGUACGGUCGCAAGAUUAAAACUACAAAGGAAUUGACGGGGACCCGGCACAAGCGGUGGAUGAUGUGGAUUAAUUCGAUGCAACGCGAACAACCUUACCUACCCUUGACAUGUCUGGAAUCCUGCUGAAAGGCGGGAGUGCCCGAAAGGGAACCGGAACACAGGUGCUGCAUGGCUGUCGUCAGCUCGUGUCGUGAGAUGUUGGGUUAAGUCCCGCAACGAGCGCAACCCUUGUCCUUAGUUGCUACGCAAGGGCACUCUAAGGAGACUGCCGGUGACAAACCGGAGGAAGGUGGGGAUGACGUCAAGUCCUCAUGGCCCUUAUGGGUAGGGCUUCACACGUCAUACAAUGGUCGGUACAGAGGGUUGCCAACCCGCGAGGGGAGCCAAUCCCAGAAAGCCGAUCGUAGUCCGGAUCGCAGUCUGCAACUCG
rnacentral:rRNA from 1 species